GACGAACGCUGGCGGCGUGCUUAACACAUGCAAGUCGAACGGAAAGGCCCUGCUUUUGUGGGGUGCUCGAGUGGCGAACGGGUGAGUAACACGUGAGUAACCUGCCCUUGACUUUGGGAUAACUUCAGGAAACUGGGGCUAAUACCGGAUAGUAGCUCCUGCUGCAUGGUGGGGGUUGGAAAGUUUCGGCGGUUGGGGAUGGACUCGCGGCUUAUCAGCUUGUUGGUGGGGUAGUGGCUUACCAAGGCUUUGACGGGUAGCCGGCCUGCGAGGGUGACCGGCCACAUUGGGCCUGGGAGACGGGCCAGAGUCGUACGGGAGGCAGCAGUGGGGAAUAUUGCACAAUGGGCGGAAGCCUGAGGGAGCAACGCCGCGUGGGGGAUGACGGCCUUCGGGGGGGAAACAGCUUUCGCCUGUGACGAAGCGUGAGUGACGGUAAUGGGUAAAGAAGCACCGGCUAACUACGU
rnacentral:rRNA from 1 species